rnacentral:rRNA from 1 species
UACGUAGGUGGCGAGCGUUGUCCGGAUUUACUGGGUGUAAAGGGCGUGUAGGCGGGAUAGCAAGUCAGGUGUGAAAUACCAAGGCUUAACCUUGGGGCUGCAUUUGAAACUGUUAUUCUUGAGUGUCGGAGAGGAAAGCGGAAUUCCUAGUGUAGCGGUGAAAUGCGUAGAUAUUAGGAGGAACACCAGUUGCGAAGGCGGCUCUCUGGACUGUAACUGACACUGAGGCACGAAAGCGUGGGGAGCAAACAGGAUUAGAUACCCUGGUAGU